CCUGCCUCCAGCCUCAUGCAGUCAUAAAUAGCACUUGACGGAGAUGGCUGGAUCUCGGAAUUUUGUGUGAUUCAACCAAGUACGGAAAUGAAAAAAUUAGAAAAAAAAAUCAACAUUUUGCAGUCUACAGUGAAAUACUCAACUCAGAAGUGCCUCUCCAGAGUGUCGGUGCUCAAAAGCUAUGAGGUAGUCUCUGUGCUGCCUCUUAUGGCCCACAGAAGUUCAUGUGCAAGGUUAUUCAAGGGUAAGUCUUCGUAGCAAACAUGGGCCUGUGGGCCAGAGGAUUUCUACUUCUGUUCGUUAGUGGAAGGAAAAGGUGCAUGAAGCUGAAUGGGAUUCAAAGGAGGGCCAUUAGACACUUUCUUGAGAGAUCAGAGAGCAGGCUAGAGGCCCUACCUGGGAAAACCAAUGAAGACAGCGGGCAUGGAGUUUUAUCCCAGAGUGCCCUUCUGCAGCCUCAGAGAAGCUGCCUCCAGGAAAAGACUCAGGUGCAUUUCAACUUUGUCUGCUCCCGCUGGAGAGAAAGCCAGGAUUAGAUUAAGC
rnacentral:lncRNA from 1 species